rnacentral:tRNA from 2 species
CGCGGGGUAGAGCAGUUUGGUAGCUCGCAAGGCUCAUAACCUUGAGGUCACAGGUUCAAAUCCUGUCCCCGCAA